GUACGAAACAACAAAGAUCUAAGAACCCACAGUGCUCAUAACUUAACAACCCAAAAAGCAAAGACCUUUACCCGAAUUCGAAUCCCCGGACGUCCCAGGCUCCGACCCAUAAGCCGAAACGGGUCUCUAAGCUUCGAUAAUGGAAGGCAGCAUGUUCUUGAGCUGCUCUGGUACAGUGGCUCGGUACUCUUGAAUCUUCACUGCUAUUUCGGUGACUUGGCACUCCAACUUGUCCAGCUCGUCGGCGUCGGGGCUAGAGGUCAUGUGAGGAGGGAUGAGGAUAUUGGCCCAGUAGUCGGCCCAUCUUGGGUCGUUCUCGUAGUCGUAAGCCGCCACCGCUAUCUUAUUCAGCUUCUGUGGGUCGUACGUUUUCAGCGACGAUCGGACUUUGUACAAGGGGAGUAGGAGUUCUCGGCGACUAGCUUCUCGAGGUCGGAGAUGGAGGCAGAGAUUUGGUCGAGGAAGGGUUUGAGGUGAGUGGGAUCGGUGAGUCCACUUGGGAGUUGACGGAGGACUUGGAGAUGGGGAAGCAGGAGAGGAAGGCAGAGGUGGACUCGAAGGAAGGGGAGGAGUCGGAGGAGUUGGCGGGGGCGAGGCGCGUGAGGGAGGUGUCGAGAGAGAGAGAGAGAUAGA
rnacentral:lncRNA from 1 species